GGAUGUGAGGGCGAUCUGGCUGCGACGUCUGUCACCCCAUUGAUCGCCAGGGUUGAUUCGGCUGAUCUGGCUGGCUAGGCGGGUGUCCCCUUCCUCCCUCACCGCUCCAUGUGCGUCCCUCCCGAAGCUGCACUCUCAGUCGAAGAGGAUGCCCUUCCCCGAUAGAGGAGGACUGUCCUUCGGUCAAGGGUAUACGAGUAGCUGCACUCCCCUGCUAGAACCUCCAGACAAGCUCUCAAGGAUUAGCAAAAUAGCAGUCUCUGUCCUGCUCCUUCAAGUUCAAAUUAAAAGCUCAUUUGAUAUUU
rnacentral:snRNA from 1 species